rnacentral:rRNA from 1 species
CCCUUAGAUGUUCUGGGCCGCACGCGCGCUACCCUGAUGCAUUCAACGAGCCUAUCCUUGACCGACAGGUCCGGGUAAUCUUUGAAUCUGCAUCGUGACGGGGAUAGAUUAUUGCAAUUAUUAAUCUUCAACGAGGAAUGCCUAGUAGGCGCAAGUCAUCAGCUUGCGUCGAUUACGUCCCUGCCCUUUGUACACACCGCCCGUCGCUCCUACCGAUUGGGUGUGCUGGUGAAAUGUUCGGAUCGGCCGUUUGUCGCGGUUUCCGCGGCUCGUGGCUGAGAAGUUCAUUAAACCCUCCCACCUAGAGGAAGGAGAAGUCGUAACA